GGCUAUCCACCUAGAACUGCUCCUUCAAUCCUCACAUCUCUGCAGUCUCCAGGGCAGCAACAUAGACAGGGAAUGGCAGGACAACGCUCCUCAUCUGUGACAUCUACUCCAGUGCCUACUGCUUGUUCAUGGCCACAUGAACAGUUGAUGGAAGAAUAUUGUCGAGUGGUCCUUUGCAGCCUCCUGAGCAAACAGACGUGCGGAUCUCAGAAGCUGGCUGCUCACCCGAGCCAUCUGCUGCUUCGGUGCCAAAUGCUCCUACACGGCCAACAAAACCAACACGAAAAGCAUCUACUUUUUCAGUGUCGAGUGCUCCUUCACGGCCAUCUAAACCAUUGUCACAAUAUGAGUUCCAGGAGCAAGUCCUCGUGCAAUUUAGAGUACUGCGUGCAACAUUAAUGGAACAUGGCGCACUACUUGAAGGUCUAGUGCCACUACGGACCACUCUUAUUGAGGAAACAAAGCUCUUGCCUCAGCCA